rnacentral:misc_RNA from 1 species
AAUGUCUGUCUUAGAUUGCCCCCCU